GUGGGGAAUAUUGCGCAAUGGGGGAAACCCUGACGCAGCAACGCCGCGUGAGUGAUGAAGGCUUUCGAGUCGUAAAACUCUGUCUUUGGGGACGAAUAAUGACGGUACCCAAGGAGGAAGCCCCGGCUAACUACGUGCCAGCAGCCGCGGUAAUACGUAGGGGGCAAGCGUUGUCCGGAAUCACUGGGCGUAAAGGGCGCGUAGGCGGUUUGUUAAGUCAGGUGUGAAAGUUUUCAGCUUAACUGGAAAAGUGCACUUGAAACUAACUUACUUGAGUACUGGAGAGGUAAGCGGAAUUCCUAGUGUAGCGGUGAAAUGCGUAGAUAUUAGGAAGAACACCGGUGGCGAAGGCGGCUUACUGGACAGAGACUGACGCUGAGGCGCGAAAGCGUGGGGAGCGAACAGGAUUAGAAACCCCAGUAGUCC
rnacentral:rRNA from 1 species